AGAGCCAGGGAGAAGAAGAAGUUGGAAUGACGGGAAAUGUUUUCUUCAGACACGAGAAAGGCUAAAUUGAAGUGGUUUUAAAAAUUUCAACCCUUCUACUACUGCAAUGUGUCAAUUCCUACUCUUUCUUUUCUCAGGUUUUACAUGCUCCCCAACAAAAAAAAAAAUUGACCUCGAAAAUUAGAUUGACCAGAGAAAAGAGAGGUGGAUACGACUCACUCAUAUCCUCCUAACUUUAGAAAAAUCUUAACUAGACUGAUAUUCAUUUCUCUCUAGGUUACUUAGUAUGGCAUUUGGCUAAAAUACUUAUUGUGCUUCCAUCAGAAACCCUAAUCUAAUAUUUGAUAGUUCUUGAAAAUCUCUUUUACAACCUUCACUAGCCUUACUUCAAACCAACCCUUGACUAAUACUCUAUUACUUACUCUUAUGUCUUCUAAGAACCACCAAUCAUUAGCUUGAUCAUCACAACUUCUGAUUUUUAAUUAACCACUGCCAUGAUUUUGAUCACCGUUAACCACUUUCAUUCUGAGAGUUUCACCACACUAUAUUGAUCUCCAAUACUAAGUAGCAUAUUCUCCAAUUAUACUUUCUUGUUACCAAAGCAAAACUCUUCUCUGUUGCAAUAACAAAACUAAAGUGAACAUUCCUUCUUUGCUCCUUCCAAUUGUCAACUUGAACCAUAUGCAUUUCUUGUCCCUCUAUCUUGUAAUCAAACUUAGACCGGUUCUCUCCUCAACUUAAGAUCACAAGCUUGAUUGAUACCAAUCCAACUUAUGAUACAUCUCAAACUAGGAUUGUCCAAACCGUGCUUUCUCAGCCAAUUUUAGAAACCCACUAGUUAUAACAAUUAAAUUGUCUUAUUAAAUCUCUUUACAAUUUCACUCAAAAUCCUAAUCUUCAUGUUCUUCCACGAACCUUUAUUCAAUCCUUAUCAAACCAAAACUUGAAUCUCCUCUUUGUUCUACCCAUCUAUGAAUUCUUCCUUUCUUCAAAACCAACAUUACCACUUGAAAUCAGAACUUAAAUUUCUCUUUCAUCCAUCUACCCAUUUUCUCUGUUCAAUGCCCUAUAACACUUCAUUCCUUUAAAGUUGACACUGCCACUUGAGAUUGUAGACUCAUCAUUCCUUCUCUCUCAUGACUAUUAUCCCUUGCACAACCUUGGUUUCUACCUUUUCAAAAUUACUAAACACCCUCAAUUGAAUUCCUGAUAACGACAUCACUACUGUUUUAAAGACGCUCCUUACUCAUAAACCACCAACAUCUGAUCUUGAAGAUGCAUCACACACACACGAAACUGAUAAUAACAAGCCCUCCAACAUCCGCUGCGCUACUCUGAUUCCACAUAUCUCCUUACUCAUCUGUUGACUGAAAGAAUGCUCUCUUCAUGCUGAUUGUAAACUACAAAGAUUCACUAGAGAAGAAUCUUCUUCAAAACUGCAAGGAUCUUGCAAAAACUCUGAUAAUUCUUCUCUUCCAUGUUAACCUCGUCAUCUCAUUUCCUCAAUAAUCACUCAUGAUUCUCUUACCUUACCUCUCCUUUCAAAGUUGACUUUCCAUUGUAUUUCUUCCUUUUGUGUUGGAAAUCUUCCAAUCCAAUUCAUGAUCAAACAUUUCUCCUAUUUGAACCCUUGAUACUACCUCAUCCUCUAACUUGAAUUUGAUGCAUUUUCUUGAUAUCAACACUCAUCCUUCCCUGUUUGAUUAUUACUCCACUCAUAACCCUUACAAUACUUCAAUUCUCCUUAAAGACUUUAGUUCUUUCUUCUUAAAAUUUUGGCUCUCCAAAACUGCUCCUCAGCUCCUUUGGUCCAAUUUAACUUCUUAAUCCUUCCUUAAUUCAAGCUUUAAAUCUGCCACUACAUUUCUUCUUUAGAUCUUAACCAUUCUUGAAAUAUCAAACAUGUUGUCAAUCAACACCCAAGGCUACCCUUUUUUCUCAUUAACACUGACUUUUCUUCUAAUCUCUACCGUUACUGUUACACAAACACCCAACUUAUUUUCUCACCCUUUUCACACCACUGCUAACUUCUUCUCUUCUUAUUCUACCUUCGAACUCUACUUUUCUUGAGAACUUCUUCUUGCACGAACUGAAAUUCCAACAAUAACAUGAACAUAGACAUCACAUCAAAAU
rnacentral:lncRNA from 1 species